rnacentral:rRNA from 1 species
CCUACGGGAGGCAGCAGUGGGGAAUAUUGGGCAAUGGGCGCAAGCCUGACCCAGCAACGCCGCGUGAAGGAAGAAGGCUUUCGGGUUGUAAACUUCUUUUCUCAGGGACGAAGAAAGUGAAGGUACCUGAGGAAUAAGCCACGGCUAACUACGUGCCAGAAGGCGCGGUAAUACGUAGGUGGCAAGCGUUAUCCGGAUUUAUUGGGUGUAAAGGGCGUGUAGGCGGGAGAGCAAGUCAGAUGUGAAAACUCAGGGCACAACCCUGAGCCUGCAUUUGAAACUGUGUUUCUUGAGUGCUGGAGAGGCAAACGGAAUUCCGUGUGGAGCGGUGAAAUGCGUAGAGAUACGGAGGAACACCAGUGGCGAAGGCGGAUUGCUGGACAGUAACUGACGCUGAGGCGCGAAAGCGUGGGGAGCAAACAGGAUUAGAUACCCGAGUAGUC